ensembl:lncRNA
GCCGAGCCCCGGGCCACAUCAGCCAGAGCCUCAUGGCCUGGAGUGAUUUCCAUCCUGGCCUGCAGACUCAUCACUGUCACCUGUGACAAGGAUGGGCACGGAGCCAAGGAUCCCUCAGGUGAUGAGGAAGGGCGGCAGCCAGCUGUGCUCAGUGGCUGGAGGAGCUGAUUGAGAUCGAACUCAGACUGGCCUUGUCUGCAGUGCAACCUUCCAGCCACCUGGCACCCAGCUCUGUGACCCCGAGCAAGCAGCUCUCCAGCCCUUGCCAGGCCCCCAUCAGUUUCUCCAUUUACGACAAAAAGCACAAAAGGGACUUUACUCAAAAUUGAGGUCUACCAGCAUGGGCAUCUGAGUGGGUAGAGAUGCACUACCCUUGAAAAUACCGCCUUUGUCAGAAAUUUCAUUCCUGUUCUGCAAGAUGGGAGAUGAUGCGAAGUUGGCCUCAGAUGUUCUCCUGCAAGUACAAGUUGAGACCAGACAAAGAGGACAAACUGGCUGCACCUGAAUAACUCAAAGAUUGGACUAUGAACAUCCACAGCAUACACAGGUGUGGGGAACUACCAGCCCUGCCUCCAGCAAGAGUGAGGCCCACCACCUCCUUCCAAGGACACCACCAGUCCUGGGUGCCACAUCUCCCCAGGAGCUCGUUCCAGGGAGGCUGGAUUCAGAUGGUACCAAUCAAUAGGCUUGUAGCCUGGAUUGAAUAUAAAGGAAUAGAAAGAAGGUGGGCCUGCUGCUGCUUGAUGCUUCCUGCCUUCUGCUUUCCCUGCCAUGCACUGUUUCUCCUCUGCCGUGCCCCUGUGCCAUGCCUCCCUGCCUUGGAACCAGCUAACUAUGGACUGAAACCUCUACAAACUGUGAGCUAAAUAAACCUUUCCUC